ensembl:lncRNA
CUUUCAUACUUUUCUGGACCUUGACAGUGUAAGUUACUUGGCAGCCAAUGGGACAGUCAAAAGUCUCCCGGUUUUCAUCCAAAAUAUCUUAAAUUGUGUUCCGAAGAUGAACGUAGCUUUUACGGGUUUGGAAUGACAUGGGGGUAAGUGAUUAAUGACAAAAUUUUCAUUUUAGGGUGGGGUAACCCUUAAAGGUUAUUAAUAAGGUAGUGUGCUCCAAAAUAAUGACAAAAUUCAUAUUUAGAAGAUAUAAGCAUGCAAAACUUAGUCUCUAACUUCCACCAAUAUAGAUCAAUGAUUUUGAUGACAUCAGCCCUGCAAUUUAGCUUCUCAUCAAACUUUCUGUCCAAUCAAAUGCUCUCUAGAAUCUUAAAGGUCCCAUCCCCUACAUUAUAAAUACAUGCUGAAACUGUGGCUGGAAUCGCUCACUUGUUUACAAAAUUUGUAUUUUCUGUAUGGUGAAUGGCAUGUAGUGUAUUAUAUAGGGGAUAUGGAACGAUUCAGACAGUUUAAAUAUGCUUUCCAUUGGGGAGAAUAAAGUCUGAUUUUGCACUGUUUCACGUGAACCGCCGCAGUGUGCACACAGUCUGCUCCAGCCCAGAGACAAGAUACACAAAAAACAGCCAGAGCUACAUGCAUCUUGUAUAUUGUGGUUUCAAAUAACAGGUGAUGCAUGCGACAUCAGUGUUUUUGACACCACAAGGUGAGAAAAAACACUUACAAGCAACUCAGUGCCUCCACUACUCUUUAGUUUAUACAGAGUUUUUUCACUGGUGAGACUGAUUAUAUUAAAGCACAUCAUGCAGAUUUUUUAAGAAUAUUUAAUUGGUAUGUACAGAAGAAGAUGACUUAUAACCCUAUCUCUAUCUCAGCUAAUGUGAAUGUGGGUAUAGUGAACAGCACAGAAGCAAAACCCCACUCCAGACCUUACAUGGUUUUUGUUUAGAAAAGCUGUAAACAUGUCUUGGUGGAUUCCUCAUUUCUGAUAGAUUUGUCAUGAAUCCAGCACAUUGCAGGAAGACGUAAGACUUCAAUUUAGUCUAAACUGCAAUGAUAAGUUAAAAUCAUUAUAUCAUAGUUUAAAGAUCUUGUUCAUUGCACUAAUAAGACUUUCUUACACAGAAAUAAGAAACUAACAGCUGUGAUUGGUGUGCAUGACUUAAAAAAAAAAAAAAAAAAGAAGGAGAUGAUUGCAUCAGAUUGAAGUCUUACUACAUGCAUCCAGACUUUAACAAUCGCACUUUGCAGAAUGACAUUAUGCUUUUGAGGCUAAAGAAAUAAGUUGAACAAAACAAGAUUGUCAAGACAAUUUCCAUACCAACACAAGAGGAAGACAUCAAAGCUGAUUCUGUUUGCAGUGUUGCCAGCUGAGGAAGACUAAGGUUUAAAGAGAAAUAGAGCACACGUCUCAUGGAAGCAGAUGUGAAGAUCAUGAAUAACACGGAAUGCAAAAAUAAAUGGAAAGACAACUACUCAGCCUCACAGAUGAUGUGUGUCUAUGGCCAUGGAGGUAGCUGUAGUGUAUGUAAAAACAAUAUCAAGUAGUGAGAAAUGUCACUUCAGUCAUGUGUUGAUCUGUGUUCAAAGGAAGAUUCAGGAGGUCCUUUGGUUUGUGGAGACACUGCAGUCAGUGUCACAUCCUUUGGUGACCCAAAAGUCUGCAAUAGUCAUGAAAGACCUGAAGUUUAUGCAAAGAUUUCAGAAUAUCUUCCAUGGAUCUGGUCCAUAAUUGCAAAUGUUAAGUAAUUUUUGCAAUGAGAAAGGAUGAAUUUGUUUAAAUGUUCAAUAAAAAAAAUGAUGUGUCAAGCAUCAAUAUGUGUAAGUGG